rnacentral:rRNA from 1 species
UACAGAGGAGCCAAGCGUUGUCCGGAUUGACUGGGCGUAAAGCGCACGCAGGCGGUCGGGCGCGUGGGGUGUGAAAUCUGGCCGCUUAACGGCCAGGCGCCAUCCCAUACGGCUCGACUGGAGUGAUGCAGAGGUCGAUGGAAUUGCCGGUGUAGUGGUGAAAUGCGUAGAGAUCGGGAAGAACACCCGUGGCGAAGGCGGCUCACUGGGCUGACCUUGACGCUGAGGCGCGAAGGCGUGGGGAGCGAACGGG